rnacentral:rRNA from 1 species
UACGGGGGGGAGCAAGCGUUGUUCGGAUUUACUGGGCGUAAAGGGCGCGUAGGCGGCGCAACAAGUCACUUGUGAAAUCUCCGGGCUUAACCCGGAGCGGUCAAGUGAUACUGUCGUGCUAGAGUGCGGAAGGGGGCUACUGGAAUUCUCGGUGUAGCGGUGAAAUGCGUAGAUAUCGAGAGGAACACCCUGCGGGCGAAGGCGGGUAGCUGGG